UACGCAGGCGGCUUGGUAAGACAGAUGUGAAAUCCCCGGGCCUAACCUGGGAACUGCAUUUGUGACUGCCAGGCUCGAGUCUGUCAGAGGGGGGUGGAAUUCCACGUGUAGCAGUGAAAUGCGUAGAGAUGUGGAGGAACACCGAUGGCGAAGGCAGCCCCCUGGGAUGAGACUGACGCUCAUGUACGAAAGCGUGGGGAGCAAACAGGAUUAGAUACCCUGGUAGUCCACGCCCUAAACGAUGUCGACUAGUUGUCGGGGAUUCAUUUUCUCGGUAACGCAGCUAACGCGUGAAGUCGACCGCCUGGGGAGUACGGUCGCAAGAUUAAAA
rnacentral:rRNA from 1 species